GGUGGCUCAGUGGUAGAGUGCUUGCCUCGCAUGCAUGAGGCUCUGGGUUCAAUUCCUCAGCACCA
rfam:Dipodomys ordii contig_52696, whole genome shotgun sequence.